UCCGGUAUGGUGUAUCGGCUAGCAUCGUUCGCUUUCAUAACCAUGUGUUGGAGAGCUCCGAACAGAGCCGGGUUCGAUUCCCGGUACCGGAA